UUCAUGUGUAUGUUUUUGUUAUGGACAAAGACUUAUAGAUAGGUGAAAAAAAUUAAUCCUGUUUGCAACCCAGAACUCAUUGUUCAGUAUGAGUUUUGAUACAUAUAAGAAGGAAUAUG
rnacentral:snoRNA from 1 species